rnacentral:tRNA from 1 species
GGUUUUAUGGGGUAGUGGUUAGCCCCCGAGUGUUUGAUUCUUGUGAUCCCGGUUCGAAUCCGGGUAAGACCU